UACGUAGGUGACAAGCGUUGUCCGGAUUUACUGGGCGUAAAGAGCGCGCAGGCGGUCGUUCAAGUCGAGUGUGAAAGCCCCCGGCUCAACUGGGGAGGGUCACUCGAUACUGAUCGACUCGAAGGCAGGAGAGGGAAGUGGAAUUCCCGGUGUAGUGGUGAAAUGCGUAGAUAUCAGGAGGAACACCAAUGGCGAAGGCAGCUCGCUGGGACGGUACUGACGCUGAGGUGCGAAAGCGUGGGGAGCAAACAGG
rnacentral:rRNA from 1 species